rnacentral:rRNA from 1 species
GACGAACGCUGGCGGCGUGCCUAAUACAUGCAAGUAGAACGCUGAAGGAGGAGCUUGCUUCUCUGGAUGAGUUGCGAACGGGUGAGUAACGCGUAGGUAACCUGCCUGGUAGCAGGGGAUAACUAUUGGAAACGAUAGCUAAUACCGCAUAACAGUAGAUAUUGCAUGAUAUCUGCUUGAAAGGUGCAAUUGCAUCACUACCAGAUGGACCUGCGUUGUAUUAGCUAGUUGGUGAGGUAACGGCUCACCAAGGCGACGAUACAUAGCCGACCUGAGAGGGUGAUCGGCCACACUGGGACUGAGACACGGCCCAGACUCCUACGGGAGGCAGCAGUAGGGAAUCUUCGGCAAUGGACGAAAGUCUGACCGAGCAACGCCGCGUGAGUGAAGAAGGUUUUCGGAUCGUAAAGCUCUGUUGUAAGAGAAGAACGAGUGUGAGAGUGGAAAGUUCACACUGUGACG